rnacentral:rRNA from 1 species
CGGGGGAAGCACCACAACAGGUGGAGCCUGCGGUUUAAUCGGACUCAACGCCGGGAAACUCACCAGAUAAGACAGCUGAAUGAUAGUCGGGCUGAAGACUCUACUUGACUAGCUGAGAGGAGGUGCAUGGCCGUCGUCAGUUCGUACUGUGAAGCAUCCUGUUAAGUCAGGCAACGAGCGAGACCCACGCCAACAGUUGCCAGCUCGUCCUCCGGGAUGGUGGGGACACUGUUGGGACCGCCUCUGCUAAAGAGGAGGAAGGAAUGGGCAACGGUAGGUCAGCAUGCCCCGAAUUAUCUGGGCUACACGCGGGCUACAAUGGGUGGGACAAUGGGUAUCGACACCGAAAGGUGAAGGCAAUCUCCUAAACCCAUCCGUAGUUCGGAUUGUGGGCUGCAACUCGCCCACAUGAAGCUGGAAUCUGUAGUAAUCGUGUCUCAAAAUGGCACGGUGAAUAUGUCCCUGCUCCUU